rnacentral:tRNA from 1 species
GGGGAUGAAUGCAAAGCGGUCGCGCGACAGGUUUUUCAAGCCUGGACUAGAGAGUUCAAGUCUCUCCAUCCCCGCCA